UCUCCUUCCAGUCUGAAUUCUCCUGGCUAUACAGGGGGUAUGGUCUGGUGGCCAUCUCUGAGACCAGGGCCAUAACUAGAGAGGAGCAGCGUUUGUCGAAGACCAACCUUUUGAAAAACAAUGGAACCAAAAGCCACAAGCUGCCCAAAAGCUUGCAGGCCCUUUUGGAGCUGGCUCCAGCACACCCCUGCCUUGACAAACCAUAGCCUCUUCAGG